rnacentral:rRNA from 1 species
GAUGAACGCUGGCGGCGUGCCUAAUACAUGCAAGUCGAGCGAACAGACGAGGAGCUUGCUCCUCUGACGUUAGCGGCGGACGGGUGAGUAACACGUGGAUAACCUACCUAUAAGACUGGGAUAACUUCGGGAAACCGGAGCCAAUACCGGAUAAUAUAUUGAACCGCAUGGUUCAAUAGUGAAAGACGGCUUUGCUGUCACUUAUAGAUGGAUCCGCGCCGCAUUAGCUAGUUGGUAAGGUAACGGCUUACCAAGGCGACGAUGCGUAGCCGACCUGAGAGGGUGAUCGGCCACACUGGAACUGAGACACGGUCCAGACUCCUACGGGAGGCAGCAGUAGGGAAUCUUCCGCAAUGGGCGAAAGCCUGACGGAGCAACGCCGCGUGAGUGAUGAAGGUCUUCGGAUCGUAAAACUCUGUUAUUAGGGAAGAACAGAUGUGUAAGUAACUAUGCACGUCUUGACGGUACCUAAUCAGAAAGCCACGGCUAACUACGUG